UGGGGAAUAUUGAACAAUGGGCGCAAGCCUGAUCCAGCCAUGCCGCGUGAGUGACGAAGGUCUUCGGAUUGUAAAGCUCCUUUGGCGGGGACGAUAAUGACGGUACCCGCAGAAUAAGCCCCGGCUAACUUCGUGCCAGCAGCCGCGGUAAUACGAAGGGGGCUAGCGUUGUUCGGAAUCACUGGGCGUAAAGCGCACGUAGGCGGAUGUGCCAGUCAGGGGUGAAAUCCCGGAGCUCAACUCCGGAACUGCCUCUGAUACUGCACGUCUUGAGUUCGAGAGAGGUGGGUGGAAUUCCUAGUGUAGAGGUGAAAUUCGUAGAUAUUAGGAAGAACACCAGUGGCGAAGGCGGCUCACUGGUCCGGUACUGACGCUGAGGUGCGAAAGCGUGGGGAGCAAACAGGAUUAGAUACCCCUGUAGUCCCUGAGCGGGCUGGCAAGGCGCAU
rnacentral:rRNA from 1 species